rnacentral:rRNA from 1 species
AGAGUUUGAUCCUGGCUCAGGACGAACGCUGGCGGCGCGCCUAACACAUGCAAGUCGAACGAGAGAUGAAGAGCUUGCUCUCCAAAUCGAGUGGCGAACGGGUGAGUAACGCGUGAGGAACCUGCCUCAAAGAGGGGGACAACAGUUGGAAACGACUGCUAAUACCGCAUAAGCCCACGGCUCGGCAUCGAGCAGAGGGAAAAGGAGCAAUCCGCUUUGAGAUGGCCUCGCGUCCGAUUAGCUAGUUGGUGAGGUAACGGCCCACCAAGGCGACGAUCGGUAGCCGGACUGAGAGGUUGAACGGCCACAUUGGGACUGAGACACGGCCCAGACUCCUACGGGAGGCAGCAGUGGGGAAUAUUGCACAAUGGGGGAAACCCUGAUGCAGCGACGCCGCGUGGAGGAAGAAGGUCUUCGGAUUGUAAACUCCUGUUGUUGAGGAAGAUAAUGACGGUACUCAACAAGGAAGUGACGGCUAACUACGUGCCAGCAGCCGCGGUAAAACGUAGGUCACAAGCGUUGUCCGGAAUUACUGGGUGUAAAGGGAGCGCAGGCGGGAGAACAAGUUGGAAGUGAAAUCCAUGGGCUCAACCCAUGAACUGCUUUCAAAACUGUUUUUCUUGAGUAGUGCAGAGGUAGGCGGAAUUCCCGGUGUAGCGGUGGAAUGCGUAGAUAUCGGGAGGAACACCAGUGGCGAAGGCGGCCUACUGGGCACCAACUGACGCUGAGGCUCGAAAGUGUGGGUAGCAAACAGGAUUAGAUACCCUGGUAGUCCACACCGUAAACGAUGAUUACUAGGUGUUGGAGGAUUGACCCCUUCAGUGCCGCAGUUAACACAAUAAGUAAUCCACCUGGGGAGUACGACCGCAAGGUUGAAACUCAAAGGAAUUGACGGGGGCCCGCACAAGCAGUGGAGUAUGUGGUUUAAUUCGACGCAACGCGAAGAACCUUACCAAGUCUUGACAU